UCUUGUUAAAAUGCAGGUUUGAUUCAGUAGGAGUCAGUGGCUAAACUUUUGCUUGUUUUGUUGAUUGUUUUGUACUGCAAUUUAAGCCAUGGGGGACUUUGACCACUAAGCUACAUCCAAAGUCCUUUUUUUAUUUAUUUUGAGACAGGGUCCCUCUAAAUUGCUGAAGGUUUUGCUAAGGUCACUGCAGCUGUAUUUGAACUACAAACUUCCAGCCUCAGCCUCCUAAAUCAAUGAGAUUACAGCUAAAGACAUGUUAUCUGGUGACCUUGUGAGAAUCAUUAGAAAAUAAAAUCCACUCCUCCACCAAAUAAGCAAUUCUACUACAAGAGAAAGGACACAAAGGAGAC